CCAUGUAGAUCCUUGUUGUGUGGAAGGUUGGCUGCCAGUCAAUAUUUCCUAGGAAAGGAAAGGAGAGCUGAAUUAGGAGCUCUGUCACAAUGUUGCACAUAUAUUUGAUUUGUCUCACCUUGACUUUGUUUCAGGGAUCCCAUGGGCAGAUCGUCGUGACUCAGACUCCAUCAUCUUUCCAGGCAAAUCCUGGGGACACUGUGACCAUCCGAUGCAAAGCUUCCUCAUCUGUUGAUGCUUAUAUGAACUUCUAUCAGUUUAAAGCAGGACAAGCCCCCAAGCUUCUUAUUUAUAGAGCUUCAACCCGUUUUGGAGGGACCCCGGAUCGCUUUAGUGGCAGCGGCAGUGGCACUGACUACUCCUUCACCAUCAGUGGGGUACGUCCUGAAGAUGAAGCGGACUACUUUUGUGGCCAAAGCUACGACACACCUUUACACAGUGAUACAUUUCAUUACAAAAACCAAAUUAGUGUUCUCUCACGGAAAGAAGAGUCCUGGAGUUGUCCUGUGGCAGACUCUCAUUUUAAUUUCAGCUGCCCACAGGACCUUUUGUGUGAAACAGAGCAUGAGAGCAGGACUGUUGUUUUACGGUUUCCAUUCAGGCUGAUGAGCCAAGAGGAAGGAAGUCAGGGCACACCUGCUGAAGGGGUCACGGCCGCUCCAUGGCCUUAGCAGCUGGAGGAAAGA